ensembl:lncRNA
AGGAAAUAAUGAAAACAAGCGAAUGUUUUGCUAAGGAAAUGUUUAUUACCAUGGUUCUCAUCAUUAUGAGUUAAUUACAGGCUCUCAGCAAAUAUCCCAUUGUGAACUCAGAGGUGCAAUAUGUUUUAUUUGAAAAAGUGAAAUAGUGAUUUCCUUCCCAGUAUUCAGUUGCAUUUCCUGCUAUUUUAAGACUACUCGGUGGUACCAAUGUACUUUGACAACCAAUUAUCCCAGCAUGCCUGUGCCAUGUAUUUUAACUAUAAUGCUUUUUAAAAGCUUGAAUUGCAAAAACAGAAUUCUAUCUUAAUUGAUCAGAUGUGCAUCUAGAGUUGUCUGAACACAAUUUGUGUGAUAUCUGAGUAACCCAACUGACUUACAGGAGCAGGGAGAAAACAAAGCAAAACAAACAGAUAAAAAACACCCAUCGGAAUAAGACAUGCUUCCUUUGAGGGUCCUAUUUAUAAUUUUUUUCUCCAGACUUUCUUUUCUCUGACAUCUUCACUCUUGAGGAAGGAUGACAUGUGGGCCCUGAGUACUGGCCAAAAAAUAAAAUGCACCAGAGACCAUCUCUAGGUCCUCAUUUCCUGAGGAAAGCAGAGAUGUGACUGUUACAGGCACUAUAAACCUCCAGCUUGGCCCCCAUCAUCUUAUUCUGGCAAACUCGAUUCAAAGAAUGGUGUGGUACCUACUCUACAAGCAAAUGGCGACUCUCCAGAGCUUGUACCACAACCAAUACCUUUACUUGACAACUCUAACAAAACUACCACAAAACUAGGGAGAACACAGCUUUUUGAGUUCCUACUCUUCUAAGACAAAGUGGUUUUGAAAUUUUGUCCAAGCAGGAAAGCUGAAGACCUCUGGAAAGAAGAAAAGGUAAGUCACAGAGACAGAAAUGUCUCCAGACCUACCAAAUAAGACAAAAAAGCCUCCUUAAAAUAUGCAACUUGUUCGUCAAGACAAAAUUAGACACUUGCACGGAAGUUGCAGUGUACUUUGUAGCUCAUUACUUACACUGUUAACCUCCUCGAAUUAGCUGUAGGUAAAUGGUUCCAAAAAGUGUAAUUAAGCUGAUUUCCAUACUCUUUCUGCUAAUAUGAAAGCGAUGGCCUCUCUACAGCUUUUUGUUUGUUUGUUUGUUUUCCUGGAAAAUCAAGCGAAUAAGGACAUCUGAAAAUAUAGCAUCUCUACUUUUUAACUAGACGGGAAUUUUCUACCUGGAUGGAGUAAGCAAAAUGCAGUGGAUUAUAGAGCGUGUGUGUGUGUUUCCCCCACGUUGUAAGUGAUUUGUUUGGAAGCUCUCUUGUUCUCAGAAAGUCUUAAUCCUUUUUGAGCAGCACUUACAUGGCAACCUUAGAGAAUUAAACUUGUACCUGGUUAUUUUUUUUCCUCUCUUCUUGCCAUAGCUCAGUGCGUUUUCUCAAUGGGAACCAUGAUCUAGUAAUUUAAAGCUUUUGAACCUUGUGAACAGAUUCAUUUAAAAGCAUAUUCUGAGGGGUUUCCUCGAAAUGAAAAGCAUUUUCUAGUAGGAAGCUAUAAAAGAAUUUAUAACAGAAAAUUUGCUAAGUGUCCUGCUCAGGAGGUAUAUACAGCAGAAUGCCUAGAAGAUCCAGUUUCCUAGAGUAAAUCAUUCAAAAAGUGCCUUGACUCUUUGGCUUAAUGGGUUGAACUCUUUAAAUUUCUUUGCCUUCUCUAGAUGGAUGGCUUGUUUCUUCUUUUAAUAUAAAAUUCAGUAAAAUUUUUUCUUGGAGAAAAGGGUAUUCCAUAUUAUGCAAUAAUUAUGAAACACAAAUAUGUAAAAAUGACAACAUUUUUACAUCAGAAAAAUUGAGUUAAACAUAUUUCUUUCAAUGAUCUUCAUCCAAAAGCAAUAUAUUGUUCUUUUUUAAGAUGAAAAAAAAAAAAAACAUUUCAGAAGUUUAGAGAUUAAGUGCCGACAUCUUGAGUAUGUGAUGGGUGUGUUGCUGAUAUAAUUUUAUAUUCAGGUUACUAGAUUUGAAUUAAUUUUAUAUUCAAAACAGUAAUCUUUCUUUUUGUUUCUUACAUUGGAGUUGACACAAAUUCAGUUCUUGAAGAAGAGUAUUGCUUUUCAGCUUACAAAAGGGCAAAGAGAAAAUAGAAAAGAUUUUUGAAGCAACACAGUUGUGGUUUAAUUGUUACAUAUAAUAGUAGCAAUUGUUCUUAUUUUCUUUCAGUAUUCCUUUCCCGCACUUAUUUUUUACUGUUCAGGUAUAGGUGGCUCAGAGAAAAAUGUUAAGAGAGUCCUUCCAUAAAAGUGCUUGCAGACACACACACACACACACACACACACACACACACACACACACACAUCCUUACAUACUCGGUAAUUAAGCAAAAGUAAAAUAAAAGUUUGGAAUGAAUGGCUGUGUUAUGUGCC